CAUGUCCUUUUGAUUAUAAUUUAAGGUCUAAUCUGCCCAAUGAGUAAUUGAAUGGCCGCAGUAUUUUGACUGUGCUAAGGUAGCAUAAUCAAUAGUUUUUUAAUUGAAAGCUAGUAUGAAUGAUUGAAUGAGAAAAUAACUGUCUUAAAUUUAUUAAUUUGAAUUUUAUUUUUAAGUUAAAAAGCUUAAAUAUAAUUAAAAGACGAGAAGACCCUAUAGAGUUUAAUAUUAUUUAAUUAUUAAUUUAUAUGUUUAAUUUUAUUUUUAUUUAAAUAAUAUUUAAUUGGGGUGAUUGAAAAAUUUAAUAAACUUUUUUUUUUUAUUAACAUUAAUAAAUGAAUUAAUGAUCCUAAGUUUAGAUUAUAAGAUUAAAUUACCUUAGGGAUAACAGCGUAAUUUUUUUUAAGAGUUCUUAUCGAAAAAGAAGAUUGCGACCUCGAUGUUGGAUUAAAAUUUUAUUUUGGUGUAGAAGCUAAAAUUAUAGGUCUGUUCGACCUUUAAAAUUUUACAUGAUCUGAGU
rnacentral:rRNA from 1 species